rnacentral:lncRNA from 1 species
GUGCUCUUGUAAUGUAUGUGUUUCAAAACCAUGAGGGGUUGUGUCAAAGUAGUCAUUGCCAAUCCCACAGAUGAAACAUUUAGUCUAAGAAAAAUAACAGGCAGAAAAGGCAUUUGUUGGCAUAAUAUAGGCAGGAGAGAAAACUGUCAUGAUUCUAUCGAAUUGAAGGAUAAUGAAAACUUUCUUUCUAAUGCUUUUGGCUAUUAGUCAUUCACUCAGUAGUGCCAUACAUUGGCUAUUAGUCAUUCACUCAGUAGUGCCAUACACUUAGCUCCUGAUUAGCUGAGGAUACUGCUCCCUCCUAUUGUGGGACAGUGGAGGAGGCAGCAGAGUGGCCGGCCUGGCAGGGGUAUGGCAGGGUGCAGAGAACAGGGCAUGGAAAACAAACUGCGUUCUUGCUUAGUACUGGCCCUAAGUAAUAGUAAAACCUAUUGUUUAAAAAAUCUAUUUGCUUCUGGGGAUAUUAAAAUAGAGCUGGGAUUAGUAGUUAGAGUAACAUUACCUCCAUAUCUUCUCGUACUUGUUCCUGCUGGUCUCUUAGCUCUCCGAAAGCAUCAAUAAUAAGACCUGGAAUGUUAAAUACAAAGACAAAGCAAUCUGUGUAGUGGUUCAGGGGUAGAGGAAUGAUAAAGGAAGAAGCUACUUUGUUCUGUUAAAAAAAAAAAGUGAAUUAUCAAAGCAAAAUUAGAAAAAUAAUACUCGUGUUUCUUUGUGUUACAUCCUGGCUAACAAUUUCUCAUUGUUCCUCCUAACUCUACCUUUCUACACCAUGCAGUGCUGUUAACUACUUGCUCCUCCCUGAAACUCUUUCCUUUCUACUUCUCCCUGGUUGGUCUCCUAUUUUGCUUAGCUAUUUGUGUUCAGUCUGUGUGAUAGGCUCUCCCUCUUCUCCUAGCACCUCUGACACUGAGGUGGAUCAGGGUUCCUCCUCAGUUACUUCACUUCUUAGCCCUCAACACCUGCAUGUCUUACAGGUUCCUCCACUCAGCAUGACUCAAGCUAAAUUUAUCAUCUUUCUCCAAUCUUGACAAGCUGUUGACUAAAAUAUCAUUCUUUCCCUCCCCUCCCCUGCACUGUCCAGCUCCUCUGCUCCUACCCUACCUCCCUCUCUGGGAAGAAAAUGAAGAGGACAAGACUAGCCACAGGAGAGAUCUCAGAAGCAGAAGUGAGGAGUAAAUAAUUCAGAGUAGAGGAACAGAAGGAAGGGGUUCCUCUGUAUGGAUGAAGCUUCUUAUAACUGUGCCUGGGUGUGUAUUUGGCUUUAUAUAUAGCCAAAGCCUCAGGUAUAGUAGAUGCUAAAUUAGUUCUUGCUAAAUUAACAAGUAAAUGAAUUCACACGCUUCUUCAUAAACCAAUUAAGUCAUAGAUGGAAGAAAGCAAAAAGAACUAGAUUAAACCCUGUUCAUACUCAACACAAUUGGCAAUCAUACCUUGAAUGAUGGCCAGCAAGAUGACAAUGACGAAGAAGAAAAAGGUAAUGUCAAAGACAAUGCGAUACAUUUCAUAAGGAUCACCAGCAGGGUCUUCAAUUUCAUCACCAAUGCCACCUCCUGCUCUCACUCCCACGUACAUGUGGAAAAGGUAACACUAGAGAAGAAAAAUAAGGGGGAUUUAGGCAAAAGUCACAGUUCUGUUUUUAGCAAGAUGCUCAGAUCAUUCAUAUGAUUCGGUCAGAUUGUGGCAGCCCUAAGCCACGAGAGGGGAACUCUUCAGAGGUGCCAGUAUUCAUGCUGCUAGCUGCUGUCCACUGCACCCUCUGGACAGUUUGAUAUCUACAAAGAUGGAAAGACUGUCGUUACAUUUAGGCUUUUAAAAGGUAUUUUUAGGCCCAUUAAAGGUGUAUAUAAGUUAAAAGAUCUUUAAGCCUUGAUGAGUAUGGCCUAUGCCAUAUAAUAAUUUUUCCUCAUUUAAUUUUAAGAGUGUUAGCCUGGCCUUCAGGCUGUGCUAUAAACUGCAAAAAGGUCCCCCCUCUUCUUCAUCCACAUUCCCCUUACACCUGGUAGGGCAGGGAUUCCUGCAGCAGGAAGGUCAAAGGUAAUGGACUUUUCUGCUCCUCCUGUUCUGCAGGUUUGAGCCAAUCUAGGCACGGGCUCCCUGAGCAGGGCACCCUCUGUCUCUCCACCUGAUGGGUUGAUUAGACUCACAGAGAAAGGACCGUCUUACACCUGGAAAAUCAAAAGCCAGGGGCAGCCUGAAGACACGCUGGUCAUGCCAGUACUCUAGGGGCUAGGAUUGCUGUCUCAUGACGGUGCUUGGCCCGAGAAAGCACAUGGAGAGUUUUUCGUCAAGAAGUGUUACCUCUUUUAUGGAGAUGCUCACAGACUGGGCAUUUCACUGUCCCCUGUCCCUGAGACACAGAUUCUUUUUCUGAAAUCUGGUCAAAAUAAACUGGCGAUGUUGCUGCAGCCAAGCUGGCUUACUCUGGGCAGUGCCUUUUUUCUCACGAAGAUCUGGCCUGACGGGACUCCCCCUCCCCACCUCCAACCUGAUCCUGCUGCUGGCUGUCCGCAAAGAACCUCCGACUGGCUUGCUGAAAUAAAUCAAGUGCUUAAUCCCGGUCCAUGGGACUUUGCUCUCUGUUCUGAGAGACGAUGAUCAAAGCUCAACUUCCAUGAAAUUUAGACACUGGUUUCAUUCAUAAUAAUGUCUCAUCUUGGCCAGGUGCAGUGGCUCACGCCUGUAAUCCCAGCACUUUGGGAGGCAGAGGUGGGCAGAUCACCUGAGGUCGGGAGUUUGAGACCAGCCUGACCAACAUAGAGAAACCCCAUCACUACUAAAAAAAAUACAAAAUUAGCCAGGUGUGGUGGUGCAUGCCUGUAAUCCCAGCUACUAGGGAGGCUGAGGCAGAAGAAUCACUUGAACCUGAGAGGCGGAGGUUGCAAUGAGCUGAGAUGACGCCAUUGCACUCCAGCCUGGGCGACAAAAGCAAAACUCCAUCUCAAAAAAAUAAAAUAAUGUCUCAUCUUUACCCCGGAAAUAGAUGAAUGAUGACGCCACUGUGCAGGGUGCUUCCCUUUCCACGGGGCUUAGAUGUGUGGUAAUGAAAACUACCUCCAUCACUUCUGUCUUCCCAGGACACUCUCCUGUUUGGAGAAGACAUCUGUCUUCUACUUUAAUCUCUGCUGUGCUCUGUAACUAACUCUACAGUUCUCAAGAGCACCCCCACACAGCCCUUCUUCCCAGUGAGGUGGUGGGGCGGGGUGGCCCCGCAGUGGGUGGGCUGGCCCCGCAGUGGGUGGGCUCUCACCGUCAUCAUGUCGUCGCACUUCAUAUCGGGCUCGUCAUCGUCUUCGCUUUUGUUGUAGAACUUGCGGAAGAAGUUGAAAGCCACCACAGUAUAGAGAUAAACCACCACGGCCAGGAGACCGACAGUCAGAACCAACUGGGAAUGAGAGGACAGAGAAAGGAAAAGGAGUGGGGUCUUCUCUACCUUGAAAGGUUCACAGGAGACUCUAAGAAAACGAGGAGGAAGAGUGAGGACGGGCAAGGAGAGGAAAUGGGGAAGGGGUGGAGGGCGGCUAAGAAAGCUAUCAGGCCAUGAGCAGAGGAGGAAAGAUGGCACCACAGGUAAAGAGAAGCGGGCUUCCUGGCAGAAAAGAGUAAUGAUGGGGUGUUGGGGGCUGAAUUGUGUCCCUUCAAAUUCAUAUGCUGAGGUCCUGGCCUCCAGUACCUCAGAAUGUGACUGUAUUUGGAGAUGGAGAUACAGCCUUCAAAGAGGUGAGUAAGUUAAACUGAGGUUGUUAAGAUGGGCCCGCAACCAAUCUCACCGGCAUCCUUAGAAGAAAAGGAGUUGGAGACACAGAGAGAGAGGCUAGACACAGGCACACGUGAAGGGACGGUCAGGGGAAGCGGCAGCGAGAGGGUGCUGUCUACAGCCACAGAGAGGCCCCUGAGGAGACCAGGUGCUGGUGCUGCCAGCACCAUGAUACUGGACUUACUUACCGCCUCCAGAACUGUCGAAAAGACAUUUCUGUUGUUUAACAAAAUAGCAGUCUGUAGUACUUCGUUCUGGCAGCCCAAGCAGACUAAUGUAUAGGGCAUUAGAUUGGGCGUAAGUAAAAUAUAAAGGAACUUAAGUAUUGAAUAGUGCAGGUGCUGUGAGGAGGGAUACAUUGUGUUUUGUUAUUGUUCAUACAGAGCUAGCUGUUACCUGAGGCUUCACAAUGUAGCUUCUACUCUAAUGCUGCUGCUUAAAAAACCCCAGGCCGGGCAUGGGGUGGCUCACGCCUGUAAUCCCAGCACUUUAGGAGGCCGAGGCGGGCGGAUCACGAGGUCAGGAGGUCGAGAUCAGCCUGGCCAACAUGGUGAAACCCUGUCUCUACUAAAAAUACAAAAAUUAGCUUGGCGUGGUGGUGUGUGCCUGUAAUCCCACCUACUUGGGAGGCUGAGGCAGGAGAAUCGCUUGAACCCAGGAGUCGGAGGUUGCAGUAAGCUGAGAUCGCGCCACUGCACUUCAGCCUUGUGGCAGAGUGAGACUCCGUCUCAAAAAAACAAACAAACAAACAAACAAAAAACCCAAAGGUUCUUUGGACUGGUGGAUAUCCCUACCUUAUACUAUUUCAUAAAUAAUCAUGCACUGGAUAAUUGUCACAACUUUGAAGUUACUCUAAGAAUUAUGAUGGUGGAGCUGAGUCACACUUUUUAUUACAGAGAAUUCUGCCCAGGCCCUUUGCAGUGUCCUAGGGCACGCUUACUUCCAGGCUUUAGGAGUGAGAGUUCACUGGCUUAAGUGAGGAGUACACAGGACCUGCACAUCUGACCUCUCUCAAGGACUAGGCAUUGAGCUGGGAGAUAGGAAGAUCAACAGGAUCAGAGCUUUGCCUUCAAGGAGCCACACAAAAGGGAGUGGGUCCAUUCUGUUCUGCAUCAGUAGAAACCAUACCUGUUUGCCAUUGUGAGUUACAGAUGACAGAAUGGUCCUCAGUGUCUUGAAGCCCAUUGCGAUGUCCAAUAGGUGAGCAGCAAAGAAGAAGUUAUUGUAGUGGCCCAGGACUGACAUGGUUGUAUACCAGGCAAGGUAGAGAAAGGACUGGGAAUGGAAGAAAGCAGACUUUUAAGCAUGUUUGCCUCAUAGUGUGCUCAUUAUAAAACAUUUUUUCUUAUUUUGGGAGACACACUGAGGAUAGAGGGGGUUUAGGUGCUGAGGUGCUGUGAGCUGGCCCAAGAUCUGCUAAGUGAGCCCCAUCUACCUUAUACCAUUGUAUAAGUGUUCCCCCAGCACGUAUAAGGCUCUUGGUCUUUGAUAAGCAAUCCCUGAACCCUUCUGAGCAUCCUGCAUAGCUUGCUUCUCUGUGGCAUCCCUGAACUGGGGUAUAGAAUUUUGUUUUUCCAGGUGCAGUACUUACGUUGUCAGUAAAAACAACUCCAAGCUUCCAGAUAUGGUACUUCAUGUCUAUGGAACUUAGCCUAGAGAAGAACAAGUGAUUUUAAAACUUAUAAAUGUCAAGAGGUAGUUAAGUGCUCAAUAAGGGGGAAAAAGUAAGUUUUUUCUCUCAGGUUUAAUAACCUAAAUAUGGCUCUCAGCUUUAUCAAGUUGUAUGUGCUCCCCAUGAGACAAGAGAACAGUUGAAUCACAUAGCCUGAAUUUUUUUUUUUUUUUGAAACGGAGUCUCACUCUAUCACCCAGGCUGGAGUGUAGUGGCGUGAUCUUGGCUUACUGCAACCUCCACCUGCCAGGUUCAAGCGGUUCUCCUGCCUCAGCCUCCCAAGCAGCUGGGACUACAGGUGCCCACCACCACGCCUAGCUACUUUUUAAAAAUAUUAUUAGUAGAGACGGGGUUUCACUAUGUUGGCCAGGCUGGUAUCGAACUCCUGACCUCAUGAUCUGCCCACCUCAGCCUCCCAAAGUGCUGGGAUUACAGGUAUGAGCCACUGCGCCCAGCCCAACCUGAAAUUUUAAUUAAGUCUUUAUCUUUCAGCUCUAUAGGGCAUAAAAAUGUAUUAGUCUUCAAAUUUUUAAGGCAGUGCUCUCCCAGUGUUAGAACCUAGAAGAAACACCUAAGCCAGACCACAGCCUGAGAGAACAAAGACACGGUUGUGAUUUUUUCCUAUGGAAAAGCAAAGAUCUAUCUAUUUUAGCUGCUUUGGAUUUGAACUCCUAAGCUUUUUGUACCAUGACACCAGAGAAGCCGCUUCUGCUUUGGUCUCUUCUACUGGGCUAAAGUCAAGAGCAUUUUUGUCCAAACCCAGAAGUUCAGCAAUGCGUUCUGCUCCGUAGAGAUCUCCAUACUUGUUGAUCACCUGAAGCAAAGGAUGACAGGGUGAGCUCAGGCCACACGCCACCACCAAAUAUUUUCUAGCUCUGGGGUCUUCAGAGCUUUGCUGCCCUAUGGGCAAUCUUCCAAGGGGUAGAUGAAGACAUAGUUCAAAAUGCAGAAAAAAGAGAAAACCCAGAGAAAAAAGCAAUGAAGACAAUUAAAUGAUAACUGUUUUUUAAGCUGAUACUGAUAUCUUGAUUUGCAGGGGAGAAAACAUCUACUAUGCAGAAAACAAUGAGGACUGUGUUAACUUGUUUAAGGCAGAUGAGUAUAUGAAUGAAGCCAAAAACCUACAUAUGUUCAUAUCCAACCCCUUCUGUGACUUACUCUUCUUGAGAUAUUAUCAUAAAAGUAGCAUCACAUUUACUCAUGUUUGUAUGUGGAGAACUUAAAAAACAUACACCACAUUUUUUGGUGAUCACGGAACUCACCCCCACUAACAAGGCAUACCUUUCUCUUUACAAACUUGUCCCAGUAGUUAUUAGGAAAAGAUCUGAAAAACAAAACGAAAAAGGUUGGUUCUUCAUUCUUAACAUCAAGGAAAACACAUCAAGAAACGUUUCAGUUUGAGUGCCUGGAUCUGGGAUCUUUCUGGUUUGUGUCCUGCUCACCAAAGAAUUUUAAGAUCUGAUUGAAGUUCAGAGUCAUCACAGGCUCUACUGAGUCAUGUAUGGCUUCAUUACUUUGUAUUGGCUUUUGAAACACUCAGAAGGCCACUGGGCAGUUUCUGCCUCAGAAUUAUGAUUUGGAGCCAAGAAUUGUGAUGACAGAUUAGACAGAGACAGUUGUAUGUUUCUAAGUCCUUUCCCUAAUCCCAGUAUAACCAGAAACAAAAUGCUACAGAAAACACAGGCAUUCCAUUCAAUGAGUCACUACUUUAUGUCACCUACUGGGGUAGAUAAUGGCGAUGCGGGAUGUGGGGUGUGGUAGAAAGUGUAGAUAAAGUCCCUAACUAUAUGCAGUUUCCAGUCUGGGAAUCACCUUUAGUUUAUUUACAUUGGAUUUUUUAAGCUGAGUGUUUUUCCACUCUAUUUUCUAUUCCCACGUAAUGCCACAGGGCCUGCUUUCCUCCAGGAGUUGGAUCCCUUUCUUUUUUGGAGAUGGUUCUGUACCAUCCCCUAGCAUCCCCAGAGAGAUGAUCUUUCUUCUCUCUGUAGCUUGUACCAGCUCCACUGCAAAUAUUUCUUACUGUUAAAGUUAAGAAAGAACUGUCAUCUUCAGGAAUGCUUGCAAAAACCAUUGAAAAUAUGUUGUUCCUAUCCAGAAUUACUGAAUCCUUCCUGUGGGGGGGUUCCUUGUAAGACUGGAUUGCAGCCUAGGAGUCUCUGGCCUUUGGUGCAUGCAUUCUUACUUUUGUUUUCCUUUAUUUGAUUCAUUCUUUUUGGUUCUAGAACACAACAGUUCCCUAUUCUCCAGAGACCACCCAAGUUGGUGAUAAGGAAAUGGAGACCUCCUACUAUUCACUGACCUCUCAUGCCGCCUCUCCCCCAACAGGGUGGCAGUAUUUAAAAAAAAAUGUUUUUUUUUUUUGGUUUGUUAAAGCAGUUUCUUUGUCUUAAACAUUUAAAUGCCACUUGAAAGCAAAAACAAAUGCUGGUGUUACAGAGUAAACUGCUAAUAUUUUAUCUCUGGGGGAUGAAAAUAACAAUUAUUUUGACUUUCUUCCUUGUACAUUGCUCCUUGAUUUUUUUAUGCACUGCAUUUAAAUUGAAAAUAAAACAAAUAAAAAUCAAGCCAUGCGCUCUCUGCCACA